UCUGGGGUCACAUGGAGUGCCAGGGCUCAAGGGAAAGGGUGCGUGAGAUGGGGCAGGGUCUGCAGAAUGUUGUACGGGCCGUAGGGAUGGGACAAGGUCUAGAGAGUGGUACACGGACGAGAGAGAUGGGACAGGGUCUAGAGAAUGGGACAUACACCCUAGGGGUAGGACAGGAUCUGGAGGAUGGGACAUGGACCGUGGAGGUGGGACAAAUUCUGCAAGGUGGGAAAUGUGCCGUGGAAGUGGGACGUGGACCAUAGGGGUGAGACAGAGUACCCAGUGGUGGGAUGUGUACCUGGAGCCCCUGGUCUGGGGCAAAGAACUGUGGUGUCUAACAGGUCCCUGAGGAUCAGCCACAGCCCCCAGGGUCAGGCUGGCGUCCCCAGCGUUCAGGAGACACCCCCAUGGAGGGAUGGGACCCCUGGAAGUGGUGACUCAUGAGGGUCAGGCAGGGUGCAGGUUAGGGCAGCAAUGCCCCGGGAGCAGCAGGAUGGGAUGCAGGGUGCAGAAUGAUGCCCAGUCAGGCACCAUCUGGGCCCUGAGCUUCUCAAAGCCCUGGUGCACAUCCUGGGGCUUUGUGGGCUGGCACCGUUCCUUGGAGUGGUGCUGGCUCCUGGCAGCACCAUCAAGGAUGAUGGAUUUUGGCAGUGCCCAAGGAAAACAGCUGGAAAGUGGUCCUUGGUGGCAGAACUGGUUAACACUACUAGUCACGCUCCAGCUAUUGUUCUCUGUUGGUAUUCAGCUCCGCAGACUUCUGCUUCUAUUUCAGUCCUGCUGAAGGGCUCAUGUACCCUGCAGCCUGCCUGUUUUUCUCCUAAUUAUUUCAGUUGGGCUAAAAAAAGAUAUUACCUCCCUCUGCAAACCUUGCCUCCAUUGUUCUCGGCAGGGUGAGAAGGAAAGGAGAAGAAAAGCACUGAUAUCUCCAGGUUAAAUGCACUUUUUCACAGGUAUCUCUGCUUGCUCCAGUUGCACAGGGUCCAGUCUAGAACAGAGCUCCUGAGAGCACGCAAACAGCAAUUAGUGGUAAUGAGAAGAAACACCUGAUUGCAUCUCCUUCUUAUCAGCUUGGCUGUGGCUUUGGCAGAGACUCCAGUCUCACCAGUGUGAUCCCUUUGCUGGGUAAACACUGUCUACAGCCUCAGUGCUCCUUCUGCCACCGCUGGUAGCAAAAUUGGGCACAGAAGAUUCUGAUUCGGGGCAGGCGUGGGGCCUGGCAUGCAGCUGUGAGCAUCCAUCCGUUUCAUCCCUGCAAGGCUGGGCCCAAAGUUCUGGGUGCAGCACAGAAUGAGUUAUUGUUAAACAAAUGAUGCUGCAGCCAAACUUUCAAAAUGACCCAAACCAGCAGAAAUGCUUUUCUGUAUUCUUGAUUUUCCUGGCAGGGCUGCGGAGAGUGAGGGGAAACCUCUGGCCCAGCCGAUAGGGUGUGGGCUGCGGUUCUGACUCUCUCCUGGAAAAUUUUAAUCGGUGAAAAAGUGCAGAAUGUUUUUAGCAUGCAGUCACCGUGCAUGCGAGGACACGCGGCUGCUGGGGAGCCGCGACGCCAGGGCCGUAUCGUUGGGGUUUAUCAGCUGCUGCGAGGGCAGUCCCCAUCCGCAGGGAGCAGCAGCUCCGGGAGGACCUGUUGUUGAAUGAAAGUAAUUAAGGGAAGGUGUUUGCAGAGUGAGAACACAGUUGCACAAAUGCAGCGGCUUGCUGGCAGCUUGGGGACGGGCAUCAUGGCUGGGUUUGCAGCAGGGAAGCGCUGCCCGCCCCGGUGCGUGGUCACUGGUAAAAGUGGGGCGAUGCUGCUGGGGGUGACACCAAGCAGCUGGUGCUGGUGAGGCGUGCAACGAGGACCUCAGCUGGUGAGGCAGCCCUUUGCUCUAAGCCCUAUGUGGUGCUGGCAGCGGGGUCUGUGACCCAUCUCUGUGGCCAACGGGAGAGCUGUGACACUGCCACCCAUCCCCAGCCCGCAACACCUAGACACCUUGGCAAGUCACAUGCUUCGAUUUCCCUCUGCACCCAAAGGUAAUAGCACUUCUUCAGGGCACUGGACAGCCUCCUUCGUCAGCAUCUGGCUAAAGACCACCUGGAGCAGAGGCUGGGUGUUGUAAUUGGACUGGGAGGAGCAGGCAGCCUGGGAACACCUGGGCAUGGUUGGGAAUGCUGUGGUUGAGACUCCUGCCAGGGGCUGCCUGCUGCUGCCCUGUGUCCCCAUAUGAAGGCACUGACACCGCUGGAGGCUCUGAGCUGCCACUUCUACUGCUCAUCUCUCGCCCCGCACGUUCGCGCUCCCAGUGCUCAAAAACCUUUGCCGAAAGGUUUCAGGUGUGAAAACACAGCAGUGCUGGUCACGGUGGAUCCUCGUGGACAUCACCCACUUUGGAGACAGAGCAGAGGAGCUGCAUUUGCUUUGCAGAAGCCGCAGCACAAGCAGGCGGACGUCCCUGCUGGUGACUCACAUCCCCAUGGACACACGGGUAGCACUCGGAGUCCCAGCUUUAGCCCAAUUUUAGCCCUGGGGAGAGCCACAAUGACAGUGACAGAUGCAUGGCUCCGGCCAGGGGGACCUGAAAUAUCCUCCUUUGCUCAGCCACGGUGCGGCCCCUGCCCAGUGCCUGCAUAGCCCAGCUCUGUCAGACCUGCUAUUCCAGUGGGUGGGGUUGGCUUUGUCUCAGGUUAUUUCAAGCUUGCUUUUGGCACAAGGAACAGUGCCUGGUCCCAGCUGGGGCUGAGCAUCCCACCAACCCCACUGGGCAUCUUCUUCAUUGCCCACAUUUCUUAGGCACCAACAGAGCCCUUUGAGACCUAUGAAAACAUUGGGUUUAAUUCUCUUCUUUUAAUUCAACACUGGGCGCGCCGCUGAUUUUUAUUAAUUUAUCAGUUCUUCCCCCCACCGUGGAUAUCUGUGCUGAGCCCUUCUGUCCCUGCAGCGACCAUUCGCACCGUGCUUAAAAUUGUUUCUAAACUUCCAGAUCCAUCUUCUGGCCAUCUUUACAGGCUUGAGCCCACAGUGGGCCCUCUCCUUUCAUCUUUUAUUACCGGCAUUUUUACCAGGAUGACAUUUUGACUGGUCUGGGAAAUCUUCUCACCCGCCGCACUGCUUCCUGACAAUCAAGAUUUAAUCUUUCUGGAGAGCAAUGAUAGAAAAUGCUGCAGAUCACUCCAAGAUUGCAGAAAUCCAGACCGUGGAUGCUGUUCUCACUGCAGCUCUGGCACGAGCUCCCAUCUCCCUGCUGCCUCUCUAAUCUCCAGUUUAAAUCUCCUGUGCUGCUGCCUUCAGUUUCUGAUGGCUGGGAGAGCUGCUGCAUGGCAAAGCCCAUCCACGUGGCCCUCCUUGUUCUAAGCUGGGCUCUUCCAGCCCCAAUGGCAGCUCUCUCCCAGAGCCUUUUUGCUCUGAUUCUUCCUCAUUUCUCAUCCAGGCUCCAACCAGCAGGUGCAGCAUGUCUCCAUCAAGCAGAGAUCUCUGGAAAUCCACUCAGGAUUUUCCCAAAGUGAAAAAAUGACCCGUUGGCCACGGUGCUGCGGAUCUUCAUUUCUGACUGUUGCACUCAGCUCAUUUCCAUGCAGCAUUUUUGGGAUGAAAGCAGAACACCUGGGAGCAGCCCAGCCCAGGAGGAAGGCGGUGUCCACAGGCACCCUCACAGCAAUGGAAACUGGAACCACGCAGGAUGCGAGGCUGCAGCCAUCCACGGAUUUUCCAUCUGCAGAAUAACUCCAGCGCACAGACGGAUCACAAACCGCACUGCUUUAAUUACACCAGCACAAUUUUCACUCAUUUGGUUAAACCUGCGAGCUACAGAAAGAGCUAUUUCCAAGAGCACGGCAUGACUUAACGGCCACUCGCAAGCAGCUGGGGCUGUGCCGUGCCACCGCCGUACCCCGGCACGCAUCCCAUAACCGGGGUUUAACCUGAUUCCUGCUGUAAUCUCCGCGCCCGGCUGGAUCGCGCUGCAGCUCUCUGGUUUUGAAAUCAGCCCAGGAAAAAAGAGUGAGCGCCGAGCCAGGCUGUGCCCCGCUGCACCGCGGUGGGGACAAAGUCUGCUUCACGGCACUGCGGGGUCAGCCAGCAGACGGCACCUCCCUACUGGCACCGAGAGCGGAACACUGCCUUCCUCCCCUCCGAUCGAUGUUCGCAGUGCUCCAAAGGCUUUUCCCUCAUUCUCUGAUGAGCUUUUUUUUUUUUUCUUUUUUUUUUUUUUUUGUUUGGAAAGGAAAUGGGCAGGAGCAGCAUGCUGGGUUUUGGAACCACUGUGAUGCACAGUGGGCACCCAACUUGUGAGCAGCCCCGUUGCUGCAGCUUUGGGGUGGUUUUGUGCCCUGUUCCCACCUCUCCUCUGCUCAGUGAGCUCUUAAUUAGAGGGGAAUCUCGAGGCAAAGCGCAUAAAACAGGUGGGGAAUGAGCAGUGGAUUUCCCACCUCCUGGUGCUAAUGGAGACCAUCCUUCCCCACUUAACCAGAGCAGCCGUUAAUGUGCUCUGACAUAUUUUUAGCUGAAAAGUGUUUCUCAGCAAUGCCACCUUCAUGGGCAACACCAGUUGUUUUUCCUUCCCCUCGAGGGGUCCAUCACCAGUGCUCUGCUCCCCAGAUCCCCAUUUCUCAACUUCUCAUUGUCUCCUCUGCUGCUCCCAAGGGAUGUGCCACUCACAGGGGUCAGACCCUAUGGGAGAAUCUGGGCUCCCCAUGGGUUCCUCUUGGAUUCAUCUCCGUGCUGAGUUUCUGAUGCCUUCCCAUGGGAAACCCAACUCCACGUUUCCCACUCAUCAUCACAGGGUUUGCACACCAAGGUCAAGUUCACCACGACCCAGUGGGUCAGCUGGAUGCUGGAUACAGGGAAGAGGAGAUUCUGCUGCCUGUUCUGUAACAAACCUGUUUGCUGACACGUCAUGAGCUUCUGAUAUCCCCUAAGUAGGGUCUGGGGAUGCAGGGGGGUGUCCAGGGUUACAGGGCUGGGCAGGGUGGUGCACAUGGGAUGCUACAGUGGGCUGUGGAGGGGAUG